AGUGAACGCUGGCGGUAGGCCUAACACAUGCAAGUCGAACGGCAGCACAGUAAGAGCUUGCUCUUACGGGUGGCGAGUGGCGGACGGGUGAGGAAUACAUCGGAAUCUACUUUUUCGUGGGGGAUAACGUAGGGAAACUUACGCUAAUACCGCAUACGACCUACGGGUGAAAGCAGGGGAUCUUCGGACCUUGCGCGAUUGAAUGAGCCGAUGUCGGAUUGGCUAGUUGGCGGGGUAAGGGCCCACCAAGGCGACGAUCCGUAGCUGGUCUGAGAGGAUGAUCAGCCACACUGGAACUGAGACACGGUCCAGACUCCUACGGGAGGCAGCAGUGGGGAAUAUUGGACAAUGGGCGCAAGCCUGAUCCAGCCAUACCGCGUGGGUGAAGAAGGCCUUCGGGUUGUAAAGCCCUUUUGUUGGGAAAGAAAAGCAGCAGGUUAAUACCCCGCUGUUCUGACGGUACCCAAAGAAUAAGCACCGGCUAACUUCGUG
rnacentral:rRNA from 1 species